CGGACGGGUGAGUAACGCGUGGGUAACCUGCCUCAUACAGGGGGAUAGCAGCUGGAAACGGCUGGUAAUACCGCAUAAGCGCACAGUACCACAUGGUACAGUGUGAAAAACUCCGGUGGUAUGAGAUGGACCCGCGUCUGAUUAGCUAGUUGGCGGGGUAACGGCCCACCAAGGCGACGAUCAGUAGCCGGCCUGAGAGGGUGAACGGCCACAUUGGGACUGAGACACGGCCCAA
rnacentral:rRNA from 1 species